CUUCUUGCAAGUAUUUAUUUCUUUUGUCCUGUUAACACCAAGCAGUGAAAGGAAUUGUAAGGAUUUUGAAGGGAGGGGGAAGGAAUGAAAGCAGGAGAAAGGAAAAAAAAAUAUGGACAUAAUGGCUUAAUUUCUCACAGCAUGUGCAGCACAAAUGAACAGUAAACAAAUCCCAUGGAAAAAUGCAAACAAAGGCUACGUUUGCUCAAAGUUCCAAGAAAAAAGCCCCUCGUGUGUGCCACUGAGCAAACAUUUCUGUGAUUAAACCCUCCGAGCCUCUGUGUGAUUUCUAGGCCAAUUCAGCCCAGCAGAUUCCUUCCCCCUUCUCCCAGAACAUCCCUGGGCUGCAGCAGCCACAGGGCUACGUUUCCAAGCCUUGUUUUGGUUUAAGGCAAGGAAAUGUUGUAAUUAUGGCAUUAAGAGGAAGCAGCAAUCCAAUCCAGCGAGUCACGGGCAAGUGUGAAAAUCCGAUUAGAGAUUUGCCACCGGGGUUUGUCCAUACAGAGUGAAAUAAUUAAGCAGCAGAUCAUGAACAAAUACCACAUUCUGUUGGGAUUUCUGACCCGGAUUUUGGCAACCCCAGCCAGGUCAGGAACUCAAGAUGUUGGCUGCCACCAAAGGGUCUUUCAGUGACCCUAAGGGUUGUACCAGCAGUACAAUCAUAAAUUAUCUCACUGUGUGACACCAGGUGAGACUGCACCCUUCUCUGUCACCCUGUGUGUAACAAAUGGAAGUGCUGCUCUGGCAGGGCCAGGCUGGCACAGGUGAGAGUCACACAAUGUGCAGUGCUUCUCCUGCAUUUCCUUACUCCCCAAACCUUGGCUGCAGCACAACUCUAGCCCACUUUAUUUUCUUAAGUGAACCAAGGGAUUUCCAGUGGGAUUAUUUUCCCCUGAUGAUCUGAGGCUGAGAGGCGGAUCCAGUGAAAGAAACAAAACCAAACUGUGAAAAUCCUCUGCUGUAAGUAAAGGCGAAUGCACUUUUGACAAUAUCCCAAGUUGGAGUUUUUUUCCCCUUGAAAAUGUCUAUAGGCACGUUUUUGAUCACAGGAUUGGAAAUAUGUCAUGAGAACACACUCAAAUAUGCGCUCGCAUUAACACUGCUGCCAGAAGCCAUCUCACAGUCAUCACCAGACAUUCUGGAGCCCCUAGAAAGCUUUCUGUGGGAUUGGAAGGCAUCCAACCAGGAGAAAGCAAAGCCACCAUGUGAUUGGGAUGGACAGAUCCACAGGAAAACUGUACAUUAAUGAAUGGCAAGAGCUCAAAGUGGGAGUUAGUGAAGAGCUUGCAAGGAAAUCACUGGCUGAGAACCAUCCUGUGCAUAAAAUAUUUGAUAAAUGAGACUCUGAAAGAAAUUAUGUAAAAAUGAUCCAUUGAAAGAAAACAGGCUGAUUUUACAGCAAGAAUUGCCCGUGUAAAGCAGUGCUGCUGGCUGUAAUAAAGAUCACUGGAACACAAGCUGCUCACCCAGCCUUAAAGGAUGUGUGCCUUAGACUGCAAAAGGACAUUCUGAAGUACCGUGAAAAUAAUCUAUUUUGCUAUUUGUAUAUGGUAACUUAUCAGAAGAAAUCAAACAGCAGUGCUGGGUAUUGGGGCUUGCACCGUGUUUCUAUUUUUCAACAGAUGAUUUUUACCUUAUGAUUCCCCCUCUAACCACAAAGUGAGGUUCUGGCCACCCACUCCCUCCCAGUCCUUCCCAGUUCAAAUUCGGAUCGUGUAGGUGUUAAACAGAAUGUGCAGUGAUGAACAGAAGUAACAGCUCUCUGGGGCUCAGCUACACUUCAUGCUUCAAAGGAACAAACCAGGAGAUAUUUUGGGCAGUUUGCAGAGUUCAUGCCUGGGAAGGUGUGCACAAGGCACAGGUGAGGGAAUGCCUGAGGGGAGGGCGCAGAGAGGAGCAAUGUGCAAGCACAGCAUUCUGGCUCAGGAGCUCUCCAAACACAGCCCUCUCCAACGGGAACAACUGGAAGAGACAGAUGAAAUGAUGAAAAAUGAAGGGAUCAGCAGAAAUCAGACCUAAUAUAAACCCAACUAAAAUAAACUCAGCAUGGCUCCUUGUGGCUCAUUCAAAAGCAGCUCUUCUCCAAUGAACUCGGGUCAGGGGAAAGAUGGAACAGAACUUCUCUGCUCUGUGCCUUUAGGAGCCUCUGGCAACUCUGACUGGCAAUGGGAAGAGGUUUUUAAAGGGAAAUACUGAGAAUUGCAACUCUACCUCCUACAUUGCAUCACAGGAAAUGUGACAUCUCCAGCCAGAAAGUGUAACUGCUCCUAAAUCCUGGGCUUCAGAAUUUGAAAGAAUUAACAUUAUUUUCAUAAUUGAUGUGGGGUCAGAGCUGUGUGUACUUGCCUGAAUUCAAAGCCAAGCAGUAGUUUGUACAUAAGAAAGAUUACAAUUCUGUAAUUGAUUUUUAAAACUGGAAUGAAGAUGCUUUGACUCUGCAUGUGUAAAACAGAAUGAGGUCAGGAGGCUCAGUGCUGUAUUCCUGGGAUGAUGGACGCAGAGCAUUCUAGUAAGCAAUUAAAAUGAGUUGGUUCUAAAUGAUUUAUGUGCUUUUUAACAUUUCUAGAAACUUUUGGUACAGGAUAUCAACAUUUUAAAUUACUUUUCUACAUCAGCAUCAGAUCACUUCUAAAGAAAUUCAAGGCUAUAUUUGAUCACUUGAUUAACAUGGUUGUUAAACCUCAGCUAAAACAACUGGAUAAUAGAGAAACUGAAUGUGGUUUAGGAUUCAAAAAUAUUAUAAUAGUUGAUAUGGGUGAAGAAGGUUUUUUGGCUAUAGCAGACAGUUGAGAAACAUGCCAGAUUGUUUCUACUGAAUAGUCAAAAAUAUUAGAAUACUGAAAGUUACAGACUAUUCAGCCACCAAAGCACAUGUCAUAGUUGCUUGCUUGUGUCUCUCUCCACUGUCUUUUGCACAGUCCUUACAACAGGAGUAAAACAUUCCCUGGCUCCACAAGUGUUCUCCAUGAAUUUGCAGCUCUGAUGGGAGUUCAGAAAAGAACACAAGGUAUUUUAUUGCUGGGAAGAAGAGAGCCAAGCUGAUCUGUGAUUCUGUUUAAUCCCAUGGCUGAAUUGAGUCAAACAUACUCUUCCACAUUUAUUACAAUUAACAAGGGGAGAUGUGGCCCAAGACCUCAAAGGAUCAGGUAGGAGCUGCUGUGGCUCCUUUUUCUGGUACCUGAGAGACUCCUCCAUUCUCCAAAGCUGACACUGACCCAAAGAAUUGCUCUCUGAUGGAUGGAUUUUAUUUUUUUAGCACCUAUUUUGCUACAUUUAACAGUUGAGAGAGCAGAGAUCAUGAGCUUGUCACCUCUGCUGCUACUUGUAGUAGGCAGAGUUGAAGGAGGUGUAAGACUGUGUGGAGUGAACUGACUUCCCUGUGACAUGUCUUCAGGGAAUCAGUGUUCCAGCAGACUCUGCAAACAGGAAUUGUGUGUUUGGAUAUCGCUUGUUUUCCACUAUUGCCAUUUCCAUCUUCUGUGAACAUCCCUCUGACAUGAGCCCUUUUGUUCUUAUUCCAUAUGACAGCAGUAUUCACAUCACCAAAACACCCCAGGAACCCCCUCACCCUGCACUUACUUCAGUCCUCUCUGCACAAAGGCAUUAACAGUUGACUUUCCUGGAAAAGAUAGCAAGGAAUUGCCUCCUUAUCUUAGGGCUGAAGUUAAAGCUGCCAGCCCAGUCUGGGAACGCUGAUCAGAUCAACAGCGAUGCCCAAGGGCAGCUGGUGGCUGCACCCCAGAGUGUCUGAGGCUAAACAUUAAGGGAGGUCUCAGUUCAUGAGCUCCUGAUGCUCAGGGUUUGCACAGGGUGGUCCAAGGGUCCGGUCAGGGCUCAGAUCUGAGGCAGGGGGUGGGAGCUGCUCUCAGCUCUGGCACCUCUGGACAAGCAGAGCCCUCCCUCAGUGCUUGGGUUUAUCUGGUACCUGAUGUCACCUCCUCCUUUCAUCUGGAUUUUUCAAGAGCGUCCUGUGGGACCAGAAGUUCACACCCCUCUGUUCAGAGUUUGUGUGUGCAGCCUUUCCUGUACUGUGACAGUGACCUGCUCAUCAAACCAAACUCGGUGUCAAAUGCCUCAGGGACCUGCAGGGAGACAAUUUUGGAAGCCAGGGUCAGACAGAAGCCAGCAGGCUUCUGAGAUGGAUUAAGGCAUUGAUCUUCCAACAGUGUUCCUCUCCUUAGCUCCACCUGGCUUGGGGAGGGAAGAAAUCCAAUGGGAACUCUUCUGUAUUCUUUUCAUUAUCAUUUGAUUAACAGACAGGGAAACUUCAUGUCUAGGAUGGCUGUCUGUGAAAAGCCUGUACAAUACAGAUGCAGCAAACUCAGAUGAGGAAAAAUCAUAUUUAAAAAUUGCUUUUGCUUAAGAAAAAAAUAGGAAAUGGAAGCACAUCUACCUAGUACCACCAGGUCAGGAUGAUUACUGACACAAGCCAGAGAACCACACGUCCUUGUCAUACCUACACAUGAUGGAUGGCCCUUGCAGCUGGAAGAAGUGAGUAGGGUGUCAAACUGACCCUUGUUUUUACAUGUUUGGGCUGCUUUCCCUCCCUCAAAAAAACAAGAGUCAGCCAUCAGUUACCAGCAUAUUGGAGUUUCCAAGCCAGCAAGCUACAAAAUUAAUUGACUGCUUUUUAGGGCACGGUGACCCACUGGAAUGAGCAGGAGCAACAACAGGCUUCUUUUAUAGACUUUGCAUUUGGCUGGAAAUCACACGCCUCUGUUAUUAUAUAACUUCAGGGAUGGUAAGGUGGCAUCUUGCCUCUGUCUGUUUAGGGCCAUCACACUCCCCCUAAGAUUGCCUCUUGUCUUCUAUUUUGUAUUCUCAUACACUUUUCAGUCACUCUCCAAUUACAGUGCUUUCUUCCCUAAUUUAAGGAGGAAUUGUUCUAGUUGCACGCAGAAAAAAAUCAUUAUAUGAUGUAUUAAAAAUCACCACAUAUUUGCCUUAAUUUUUUUCCUGUGCUAAUAUGUCACAAUGCCCAUAGCAAGGUGAGCAUAAGGAACCAGUAAGUUUGGACCCUUUGGGAAGGUGUGAAGAUCUAAAUUGUCUCAGAGGUUUGUGCCUUCAGUCCAGCCCGGGCUGGCUGGGUCACUGUGUGUUUCUGCUCACAGGAUCUGUUACAGAACAGAAAACUGUGUGAUGUUGAAAGCAAAGAUGACAGGAACUGGGCAGGGCCUUGCUGCAGUCGGUGGUACAGGGGACAAUCAGGUGUGUCCUUGUCUUCCACCUCUGCUCUGCAGCUGGAGCAGCUCAGCCCCUGAACAGCCUCUCUCACUCCCUACCUGCUGAUCCAGCUCCUUGGAAGACAGGCAGGAGUGUCUGUGCUGAAGCUUCAGCUUCCUGAAGGUGCUGAAGGAAGGUGCUGAGGUGACCUCAGUAGAACAGAGGUGGUAAAGGUGCAAGAAGUAUCUGGAUUGCCACCUUCCCCCAGGAAACUGGGACAGAAGAGAAUGAGCUGCAGGGAGCAGGUGACGUUCUGGUUUUCCCCCUGUCUUUCUCUAAGUCCCUGAAUCUGUGGCUGCUGCUACUCACGGUUAAACAGCUCCUUCAGAAAAGCAUUAGGUCAAAGAGGAUGCUGCUCCCUAGAGAAUGCAACUGCUGCUGGUGACUGACAGGUCUGCUCAGACUCCAGACAUACCAGGAUCUUAGUGCCGGGGAGGUGAGAGCUACAAACAGUGCAGAAUAUUUUCAUUCUAAGGGCUGGUGGUUGGUAAAAAUACAAAAUACUGCAUUUGACAUAAUCUUGCUUUACCCCAACCUUGGAACCAGUGCUGUCAGAAAAGUGGCUGUCACCUAGGUUAAAUUUAUUAAAGCCACGUAAAGAAACAAAAACAAAAGAGAUGACCCAAGGCUCACCCUGUUCUUUUCUCAACAGUUGCAUUUCAGCUCGAGGAAGGCACUAGGCCACAUUAAUGUCUGCUACAAGCAGAUGUGUUCUCUUGGAAAUACAUGCACCCACUUAUGCUCUGCCUGCAUUAAGUCUGUUACUGGGUUUUUAGGAGCUUUGGCAAGUGCUAUCUGUUAAUAUCUGAAGGUGGGAGUGUUCAGGGAGUUGUCGGAAAGGCUUGCAAGACUAGAUCUGAUCAUACCCACCCACACUAAUUAACACAUUACAUAAAAGUACAACAAGUUUCUCUUUGCAAACAUCAGAAUCACUUGCCCAGGCACUUUCUGUGCAGUUCUAGAAGAACUUGAGGGACAGACUCUAUUGCUUUUUAACCUCAACAGAACAAUGGGUGAGUGGGGAGGGAACAGCUCCCACUUUCAGGGCCUACUCUUCUGUCAUGCUUCUAAAAAUAUGCCAUUGGCAGGGACACGGCUGGAACAACCUUUUUAAAGUUCACUGAGGGUGUAUGAGGGUGCUUUAUUUCUCAUCAAAAACCACAAAAUUAAGUAUUCAACAUGAGGGAUCAGAUUCCUAUACAAAGGCUCCUCCUCUCCCUGCCCUGCCUUGCUAAUUCUGAAAAUCACUUUGUAUAAACAGUGGCCCUUGAAGCCACCUUGAACUAAAAAAUCCUCCCAUUUAAAUUUGGCCUUUUUUUUGUCAGGGGAAAAUGUCCCAGACCAGCUCAUGUUUCUCUAUCAUUCAAAUUUUAAACCAAUCUCCUGUACAGGAGUGAUACUGAGGGCUCUUUACUUCUUCAGAGUUUGGAGUAAGUAAAACUGAUUUCCAGUGAAACUCCUGUGAGCUGCUCCUGCAGCUUCACCUGGAUUCCUCCAGCAGAUAUAAACAGAUCUCGAUUUUCUCCAGACUCUUGUAUGACAUCUGGCUUCAAGAUGGUGGCACAGAACAGUGCAGUGAUGACAUAGGAAAACAGAAGGGAAAAAAUAACUGUGCAGUGGAGAGCAGGAGGCAGCAGAGAGAGCGGGGAAAAUCAAAAUUAAAAUAAGUCAAAAGGCGGAAAUUCCUCAGAGAAGGCCUUAGGCUUCAACAAAGCUUGUCCACAUUUGCAGCACUUCAAGAUUACCCAACACUACCCUUAUGUGGGAAGGUCCCAGCAGACCUCAGCAGCAUUCCAGAGGAGCCUUUCUAUUAAAAAAAGCCUUCAGUGUCUCCAUCCACGUUUGCAGUUGCCUGCUGGAUGGAGCCCGUGCCGUCUCGCAACACUCACCAGGGAAGGAGCUCUCUUACCCAACUCCUCCUGGCUAUCUGAAGAGCAAAGUCAAUGUUUUCCUCAUUAUUUUCUGUUUGCUGCAGCCCUCUCCCCCACUGUGACUGCUAUUUGACCCUCUGUCCGCUCUGGGACCCUGGGGGAAGAGAGAGGGAGCUCUGUGUGUGUACCAGAGGAGAGAGAUGAUGAGGCUCAGCUAUGUUCUGACUUGUUUAUAUUCAUCAGAAAGAAAUCAACAGCACUUAGUGUGGAAGACAGCUCUGGAGAUAGGGAACAUCCUUUGUGCAGUGCAGGGAAAGGGCAGAUCUGUUACAGGGACAGCAUUUAGGGAUGAAUGGGGACGCCAGUGUGUGUUUUUACCUCAUUUUUGCAUUAGGAAGCUACCAAUAAACAGAAUCUCAGCACAAAGGUUUCAUUUUAAGGGGACACUGCUCUUUCACCACAGUUAUUUGCUCUUGCAGCUACAAGCCUGGCACACCCAGCUGGGAUUAAUGAGGAACUGGAAUGGAUCAGAGGGCAAGUUGGUAUCACCACUGCCCUCCUCUCCCAAACCUCUCCUGACAAACCUGUUACCUUCAGCAUUCCAGGCAGAUCCUGGAAGGGUUCUUCCUUCAUGGCACUUGACUUUUCAGUGAGAUGGGCUUCUCAAAAAAAUUGACAAAAAAUGAAGCUGGAAGCAUUUAUUAGGGUGAGCCUCAAAAUCACAGAGAUUGAAGUUUCUUUUCAUCCUCUCCAGAGAGCCUCAGACAUCCAGGAAUUCCAAGGAAAACUGCAUUCUAAGCAACACGUUCAGAGGUGUCACAGUGCUCCAGGUUAUAGCUCUGCCCUGACUGAGGGAGGAGAGC